UGGUUGUGGGUGUGUAAGGUUUUGCGCCUGAGAGUUUUUAAGGUGGAGGGAGAUUUCCAGCUUCCUGGCGCGCGGUGGUCGGGACUGCGUAUUUGUUGCGGCGACGAGCGUUUGUAGUGCCGUUGGCUUCUUCACCGUAGUGUUCAAUAAUCAAGCGGCAAUUCUCGCAUUAACAGCGAUGCCUAGGCGUUUUACGGGCAAGUUGUGCCGAUUUCUCUUCGAACACCUCGAACGCGGCACCUUCGGCGAGCAGCUGCUUUGGCUCGACCGACGGUCAGGCGUCUUCCAGCUGUUGUGGAAGCACGGCAAUGGAGGCUCCAGCGUGCCGCACAGGGACUGCGCCGUGUUCAUGGUGCGCAAACUCAUUUACCUCUGUGUGCAAUCUAGUGCAUUUGACGCGCACUUGCUGCCGGCGCUCUGUGCUCGGUGCUGCGCUUGCAGGUGUUUGUUGCCGCAUGAACAAUGAGCCAUCUGAGCUCCAGCAGCAAGUUCGCAAUCUCGUGCGCUGCAAAAGAAAAAAAAAUAAAAGAGAGAGAGAGAGAGAGAGAAAGAAAGA